rnacentral:lncRNA from 1 species
UUGUUUUCCCCCUCUGUCGUCUCUCUCACUCCACGCACAGAGAGUUUUCACUCCAUUCCCAGGUAAGUCGACCCCUCUUUCUCUCUCUCUCUCACACACUCACUCACCCGAUCGAUCUCCUCUUUUUGUUUUUGAUUUCCCAAAAAACUUCGAGUUUUAGGGAUUUUAUACUGUUUCAAACCCUAGGUUUAAAAAAUUAGUGUUUUUCUCUUGAUUUUAUAGUGUUUCAACCCACCUAAAAGGGGCUUACAGUCUUCAAGAUCCAGCAUUGAUGUAAACGCCAGUCGGGGCAAAGUUUUCGACCAUCAUUAACAUAUUAUAACCUGAGUAGUUGUUGAUAUAUUUAGCUUGACAUCUAAUAUUAUUGAAAAAGUAUGCUAUACUGUAAGUCUUUUUAUUUUUUUAUUUUUUUAUUUAUGAAAUAGAUCUCUGCUGUUAGAGUAUGUGGUUUUGAUAUUUGUGUCUUGUGUGUGUUAGUGAAUUAAGUGAUGGGUGAGGAUUUGGUAGAGUAAUAAUUAUUCCUGUUUGUCUUUAAUGGAGUACUCAUUCCAUUGAUGAUCUUGAAAGUUUGGUAAAUGGUUAACUCAAAGGCUUUUUAUAAGUCUUCUAAUAUUGACUAUGGUAGGGCCUUCCUUAUAGAGUGAAGAUUACUUUGAACACAUUGAAAUUUGCUUAGAUGAGUUUCUUGUUUAUGUACGAUAAAUAUGUAUAGUUUUUCUGUAAGUUCUUAAGCAUUUGUAAUCACUACUGUUAAUCUCUUUUCUGAAUGAAGGCGUGUUUUGCUUUCUAGUCACAUUUCUCUUACUUCUUUCCUAUGAAGGGAAAUUAAUUGGUUGAAAAUGAAUAAUGUUGUUUCCUGCUGUAUGCAGAAUUAUGGCACUACUUUGGCACUCUUCAAAUGGACCUAAAGUUAUCACAACAAUUAUUGCCUAAGUAUGACCAUCCAUAACUUUACUCAAGACCAGUCCCUUAUUCACAUCCAUUUCAAAUAUCUUAGGUGCUUAUGCCUCAUUCACUUAUCUUAUGUUGCUAUAUAAGUAAUUGUUACUUAUCAUUUGUUGAGAUUAUUUAUUAUUUCAUUCUUUCAUACUUGUAUUUUGUAUUAGCCAUUAGGUAAUUAGUUAGUGUUAGUAAUUGUACAACUACUAUGAAUAGGACAUUAACUUUGUAUUUCUUUUUUUUUUCUAUGAGUAACAAUAAUCAGAUUAGCUCCUUCUUUCUAGAAGGUUCAUUUCUCUGUCUGCCUCUCUCUCUCUCUGGUUGUGCGAUCUGAUCUGCCAUUAGAGCUCAAACUGAGCUCACCUCUUCCUCUUCGACUAUCCCCUAACUUUCACAUGGUAUCAGAGUGGGAUAACAACCUGAAGUCUCAUCUCCUUUCGAUUUUUCAUUCUUCUACUCACAAAUUCAGGAAUUCACUCGUUUUUGGAAAUUAGGGUUCCUGUGUGGAAAUCGAUCAAUUAGUCAGUUAUUCCUAGCAAUUCAUCUUCACCGAUAACCAUUUCAUCCGAGUCAAUUCGAAUCAUGGUCGGAGAAGACGAAGCCCCAACAACCCUAGCGACGAACAAAACCCUAGAUUCAAU